CAGGGUUUCCCUGUGGCUUUGGAGGCUGUCCUGGAACUAACUCUUGUAAACCAGGCUGGUCUCGAACUCACAGAGAUCCACCUGACUCUGCCACCCGAGUGCUGGGACUAAAGGCGUGCGGCACCAACGCCCGGCACCUAGGGCUUCUUAUUGGCUAGCUCUGUCUUAAUUAUUAACCCAUAACUACUAAUCUAUGUAUUUCUACAUGGUCUUAUCUUACCAGAGAAUGCCUGGCACAUCCUGUCUUCCCAGGCUCUACAUGGCAACCUCUGUGGUCUCUCUUCACCUACCUUUCCCAGCAUUCUCCUCAUCUCCUAGCCCCACCUAUCUUCCUGCCUGGCCAAUCAGUAUUUUAUUCAUCAACCAAUAAGAGAAAUAUAUAUACAGAAGGAAAUCCCCCAUCAUCACACGGAGUUAACUUUCUUUGUGGUAAAAUAAGCCACUGGGCAAGAAAGUGUUCUUGCCUCGACUACUGACAGUAUGCUGUCCAAACUGGAAAGGCAGGGCACAAAAGAAAGUGACUGCCAAACUUUGCCAAGACAAAUUUGGACAGCACAGAAAAGUUUGUCAGAUAUGCUAGGCCUGUAGGCUGAAGACGGAUGCCCCAACAUUGCAGAAGAACAUUGAGUGACUUUCUGUCAUGUCUCACAUUUUUGGAAGUCGCUUGCUUACACUUUCUGCUUUACUCAGGAGAAAAAUGUUAGCAACUCCUUAUUGACUUCCUGAAAUCGACUCCCAUCUUGCUGCUCCCUGGAAGGGGGGCUGUCUGGAAGCAGAGCCUGAAAGCUGGAUACUCUGUGCUUUUCUUCAUUUUCCUCACCAUUCUGAGGGAAGAAGAUGAAGCCUAGGUCAUUUGUGCCAAGAGACGAUGUCAACAGCUUCAUGAAGGGGAUUUGUUCACCCUAUAAGUGCUCCACUUAGAGGUGAGUGAACAGGCACUGACCUGCCAAGAUGGCUGCCUGGCUGCCUGUGUGGAGCUCCUGAGAAGCCAGGACUGUAUGGAGUUCAGGCUUCCAACACAGGGGUCAGAGGAAGGCUGGAGUUGGGUGCGUGGAAAGGCUAAGAGAAAGUGUGCUUUAGAGAACUUGGGAAGGGCUGAGUAGACCUCCACCAUGCUCAAAUAGGAAAACACUCCCAGAGAUGGCCCAGGGGCUCUCUAGCACAGUGGUCAACCUGUAAGCAGAAGGACAAGGCUGGUGCCUCAGUCAGUUGGGAUGCUUUUUCUGUGGGGACAGAAACAGUGGGGGCCAGAUGUGUGGAGAAGGAAAGCAUCAGGGCUGCUCGGGAGAGGAGAUUUCAAGAUCGAUGCUUUAGCCAGCAAGAGCAGAGUCUCUGUUGUGUGGACUGGUGAAGAUGAAGGCUUCAAGGAGGAAGGUUUAUAACAGGACACGGUAGAGCCGGUGGGAGGAGCACAGUUGAGACAAGGCUCCCACCCUCAGGGCCCUGGGCUUUCAGCCCCUCCUAGGAAAACUCUCAGCAGGCACAGUCUCCCAGUGUCCUAGGAUCAUGAGAGAUGUGGGAAGGGGCAAGGCUGUAGAGAAACCUACCUUCUUGGGUGUCAAAGGCCCCGCAGGAGGGUUGUGACUCUGAAGAUGUCCAGGUGGUACCCAAGAUGUCCAGGACCUGAUCCCCGCAACCAGGUGACUGUGGCAGCACAGGAAGAAGCAGGAGUGAGGAAAGUAAGGAAGGCACAAUGAAGAGAUUAUCCUGGAUUGACAAGGUGAAUCCUGCAUGGAGCCACAGUGUCUAUUAUUACAGGAUGGAGGCAAAGGGAGGUUUUUCCACAGGGGAAGAAAGUGGCAUUGCCACUGAAACAAGAUGCCACACUUCUGGAUCUGCAGAUGGAGGAUGCCAGAGAGGCAACGGCAUGACUCUCCUCCCAGAACCUCCUGUGGAGUGAGGUCCCAUGUAUGCCUUGGUUUGUACACAGCAAAGGCGAUCAUGGACAUCAGGCCUCCACUGCUGUGAGAGAAUUGAUGGGUAUUAUUUUAAGCUCACAAGCUUGUAAUAAUUUUUUAAUAUGUCACCAGAAAUGAAGACAGACAGACACCCACAGUGGUGGUUGGGGAAGCCUGAAAGGCCAGAAACACAAGGGAUGUGCCUGUACUUGAUGGACCGCUGAUGCCGGAGCAGGUUGUGGGUGGAAAAGCUUCCAAGGAAGAAGAAGCCAGCUAUGGCUACCACUGAAGGAACACAGGAUGAGCCUGUGUGGGGGCAACAGCCAGGGAGGCAAAUUGAGUCCCCUGUACCAGGAGUGUCCUGGAUCCCCUCAAAAGAGCUCAGGAGAUCCACAGUGCUUGGCAAUUUAAGUAUUCUGGUAGUUAAUCUGAGUGAAGAGGAGGAGGGGGAGGAUGAGAAGGGAAAUUCAAUCCCUGAGACCCACAUAGUGGAAGGAGAAAACCAACUUGACAAGUGUCCUCUGACUUGCAUACGUGCACGGUGGCAAGCACACACCCACAAACAAAGGAAUAAAGAAAGAAAUGUAAUUUUCAAAGAGUGUUUAAAGAUCGGGGUUGGAGAAAUGACCCCACAGUUAAAAGAAUUUGCUCUUCUUGCAGAGGACGUAGGUUCAGGUCCCAGCUUUCACAUUAGGUGGCUCACAGUCCAGCUCCCGGGAAGCUCACGCCCUCUUCUGGCCUCUCAGGGCACUGCACUUGUACAUAUACACACAGAUCAUACAUGUGUAUACGUGACUAAAAAUUUAAAACGUAAUUAAUCAAUUAAAAAAUAAAUGAGAACAGAAAUUCUAGCCAAAUCUCCCAAACAGACCGGUCUAGCCAGCAUAACCAUACGGUUCCCUCCACUAAAACUGACUUAACAUCACCUGGUGUCAACCAGUUAUUUUUCUGGUGUUGCCCAGUCCCCUUUCUGCUGUCCUGAGCCCUCCUGUCUAUAAACCCAGGCUCCUCUGCUCAGCCUGUGGGACCCUCAUUCUCUUUCCUAGAAUAAUCUAGUGCUUGGUUCUAGAAUCCCUAAUGGGGCCAAUUAAGAGCUUUAACUUGUUGUCCUUGUGACUUUCGACCACACCAAUAGAACCUGUUGAUGAUUGGAUAUGGGCUGUGAGGGUGAGAUGGGUGGUCAGGAUGGCUACAUGGUUUUCAACCAAAGCAACUAGGCGUCGGUGCUGGCAGCAGGCUGGGUAGGGAGGAUGGCUUUAAUCCUGUUAAGUGUGAUAUGCUUACUAACCUGGCAACUGCAUCCAGACAGUCCUCAGUCCUUAGGGGCGUUUAAAGCUCAGAGAGAUGGAUGUCUCCAGGAGAGUUUGGAUGAAGAGAUGGGAUCCAAAGAUAGUGGGGAGUGGCUGGGAGGAGGAGAGUUAGAAGAG
ensembl:lncRNA